UACGGGGGGGGGCAAGCGUUGUUCGGAAUUACUGGGCGUAAAGGGCUUGUAGGUGGCCAACUAAGUCAGACGUGAAAUCCCUCGGCUUAACCGGGGAACUGCGUCUGAUACUGGAUGGCUUGAGUGUGGGGAGAGGGAUGCGGAAUUCCAGGUGUAGCGGUGAAAUGCGUAGAUAUCUGGAGGAACACCGGUGGCGAAGGCGGCAUCCUGGACCAUUACUGACACUGAAAAGCGAAAGCCAGGGGAGCAAACGGG
rnacentral:rRNA from 1 species